GUCUACGACCUUACCACCCUGAAUGCACCCAAUCUUGUCUGACCUCAGAAGCUAAGCUGGGUCAGGCCUGGUUAGUACUUGGGUGGGAGAACAAGUAGGAUUAUAUGCU
rnacentral:rRNA from 1 species